UGGGUCGUCCGGAUGCUCGUUCUGAUGAUUUAGAUCAGUGUCUCGGUGUUACACACGCCACACGCUUUUUGUCUUGUUUUGUUUUAAUAGAUACAGCGCUAACGUAUAAACCUGAUUUGGGGGCGGGGCUACGUACAAGCCCGUUCGGACCGGUCAUAUCCGAGAUCGCACCCUAGACACAGAACUUGCGUUCUAGGCUAGCGCUGACCCAGAGAAUGUUUUGGUUGCCAUGGUAACGUUGUUGUUCUGUUACCGGGUGGCUGCAUGUUUGUUUGUUUGUUUGUUUGUUGGGGGUUUUGUUUUUUUUCUUCAAUUUUGGGUGAAAGUACCUGCAUGUGUUCUGAUCUCUGACCUGCCAAACAUUCACCCAAGUUUUCAGCUGCUAUUUUUACACCCGCUAUCAGUCGCUUCUGUUUCCUGGUAGUCGCUGAUGUGUUGCUCCUCGUCUGCAGCUCGUGGAUCAGAGGUUAUUGAAUUAUAACCUCUGGUGCUGGUGAGGAGCGCAGACACAGUCGGCUCGCUGAAGGUGAAGCCACGUUGCCAUGGCACAGAUUCCAUCACUCGUCUUAAUGACAUUUUUCACCCUCGUCCUGGCAGAGGAUCAGCAGCAAAAGGAUGACCCGUUCACUUUUGAUUAUCACCAGCUGCGUGUCGGAGGGCUGAUCAUGGCCGCAGUGUUGUGUCUGAUCGGCAUCACGAUCCUCCUCAGUGGACACUGCAGAUGCAAAUUUAACCAGGACAAGAGGAGGAGGACAGGAAGUAACGCAGCGAACCAACAGAUGCUCAAUGACACAGUAACCGGAUGCAGUGUGACAUGAGCGAGUGCGCUGUAGCGGUUGGAGGCGUGUCCUGUGUAUGAGUUCCAUCUGUUGAGUGUUGUUUUGCUUGUUGCUCCUGUGAUGCGCCGGUAAACACAAAGCCAGCUCGGCCGUAUGGCGCUGCUCUCUACGGAGCCUCGGCACAGUUUCCAUGAUGACUGGCUUCCUCUGUGUGUGUGCGUGUACCUGAGGGAGGAAACAGAGGCGCCGAUACACGCUGGAAAUUGCAACACAAAUUACAGUAAAAAUCAAACAUGACCUCUUCAAUCUGGCAACCCACUGCGGGUCACGUUAAAACCCCAAACCACCCCGGUGAUAAAAAAACAACCCAGAGGGUGUUUCAGGGCUGCGAUCCUCCAUUUCCUCCUGUAGCUAUGAGCUUGUCUGUAACUCCGCCUCCUGUGCUGUGAUUGGCUGAAAGGCUGCGAUAAACCACGCCCCUUUGUAUCAUUCUUUUUAAGUAGAGCUGCAACUGUACAUGUACAACAGGAACAGAUUGCUUUAUAGUACAGUGGAGAGGAAGAGUUUGUGCAGGCCCAGGCCCUGAAGCAGCAAAGCAUCCCCACAGCAUCACACUUCCACCACCAUGCUAGGCCGUAGCUAUGAUCUUCUUUUUGUGGAAUUCGUUGCUUGGUUUACGCCAAAUGUAACCUUAACCCCGUCUUCCAAACAGUUCCACUUUCACCUCAUCAAUCCACAGAACAUUCUCCUGAAAGGUUUGAGGAUCAUCAGGGUGUGUUUUGGAAAAAUUCAGACGAGCCUGAAUGUUCUUCUGGGUCAGCAGUGGUUUUCGUCUCGCCACUCUUCCAUGGAUGUCAUUUUUUCCCCAGUGUCUUUCUGAUAGUGGAGUCAUGAACAGUGACCUUUAUUGAAGCAAGAGAGGCCUGUAGGUCCUUCGCUGUUCUCCUUUGCACGUUUGUGACUUCCUGGAUGAGGCGUCGUUGUGCUCUUGGAGGAAUUUUGGAAGCUUCUGGGAAGGUUCACUACUGUGCUGAGUUUUUCCAUUUUUUAGAUAACGGCUCUCGCUGUGGUCCUCUGGAGUCCCAGAGCCUGUGAAACAUCUUUGUAACCCUUCCCAGACUGAUGUGUUUCAAUCACCUUCUUCCUCAUCAUUUAACCAACCUCACCAGACCCUUUACCCAGCUUCACGUUGAUGCGUUGAUGUGAUUGAACAGGGUCUGCAGUAAUCAAGCCUGGUCCAGCUGAACCCCAUUAUAAAUGCAUAGAUUUGGGGAAUUAGUAACUACGGGUGCAAAUACCUUUUCACGCAGACCCAGCGCGGGCCAGUGAUUGUUAGACGCCGCUGUUGGACGACUCAGUGACGAUCUGACUGACGGACACCGGUGAAGAUCCUGCAGUACCUAAUGUUCCACCACAAAAGUGCUGGAUUAAAACCGAAAACAAAUCAAUGGGCCAUUUAUAAUAUACAUGCUGUUCUUUUUUAAUUAUUAUUAACUGUUAUUAUUAUUAUUAUUAUUAUUAAUAAUUAUUAUUAUUAUUAUAUUCCACCUGUUUGCUGCUUACGUGGCUCCAUCGACCCUGUGCUUUCGUCAGAUGUUCAUUUCAACUAACUGCACCAAUAACCAAAAAAAUCUCUCGUUUGUGUGGAAAUCGUCAGAAGGAGUUUUUAUGUUUUUAACGUGUUUACUAAAAUGUCUUCUUUCUUUUUAUUUUAUUUUUUUUUUAAAAAUUUUAACGAUCGUGUUGAUCGGUUUUAGUCACAUGACAGCUUAUAACCAAAAAGUGCAAGAACUAUAUCCACACGUUCCUUCCUGUGAGUGCUGAUCAGACAUCUAAUCUACAUCGCUGUGUUCCCGCUUCGUAGUUCUGACAAUGCCUGACCAAUUUUACUUCUGAUUUAAUAGCUAGCUGUUUGUUUAUAGAUCAUCGGUUUCUGCCAGGUUGUUUGUCAUGCUUGGUCGUGUAACUGUAUCUUAUUUUUUAAAAGAAGAAAAUUGUCCACAUCGCUGACUAAAACACUAAAGUGA